rfam:Triticum aestivum genome assembly, contig: Triticum_aestivum_CS42_TGACv1_scaffold_222612_3B
CAAGUACUCCCUCCGUCCGAAAUUACUUGUCAUCAAAAUGGAUGUGUCUAGAACUAAAAUACAUCUAGAUACAUCCAUUUCAAUGACAAGUAUUUUCGGACGGAGGGAGUACAAG